UAGCUGUAGGUGAACCUGCUGCUGGAUCAUUAACGACUAUAAACAUAAGCGUUGACUGUAAGUCAGUAGUCUGUGUAAGCUUGCUGCAUGUGUAAGCCGAGUCGAGUGUCCUCACCGACUCGCAUGGACGACCGCCUUAACGGCCUCUGUUGGUUUCUACGCCUUAUUGAGCAGUUGUUGCCUCUGUCCGUGACUGCGUUGAAGUAAGAGACACACCACUUGUGGUGAGAAUCAAUGAGCUCACAGCUUGAGUGAGCCGCCAACACACAUUUUCAUUUACACAUUUUCCAUACUAAAGUAUUCUAGCCUUAUCGGUGGAUCACUCGGUUCGU
rnacentral:misc_RNA from 1 species